UACGUAGGGGGCAAACGUUGCUCGGAAUUACUGGGCGUAAAGGGAGUGUAGGCGGCUGGGCAAGUCAGAGAUGAAAUCCCGAGGCUUAACUUCGGAACUGUCUUUGAAACUGCCUAGCUUGAGGAUAGUUGAUGAAAAGGGAAUUCCCGGUGGAGCGGUGAAAUGCGUAGAUAUCGGGAGGAACACCUGAGGCGAAGGCGCUUUUCAAAACUACUCCUGACGCUGAGACUCGAAAGCUAGGGGAGCAAACGGG
rnacentral:rRNA from 1 species